UACGGAGGGGACUAGCGUUGUUCGGAAUUACUGGGCGUAAAGCGCACGUAGGCGGAUCUGUAAGUCAGGUGUGAAAUCCCGGGGCUCAACCUCGGAACUGCCUUUGAUACUGCAAAUCUCGAGUCCGGAAGAGGUGAGUGGAAUUCCUAGUGUAGAGGUGAAAUUCGUAGAUAUUAGGAAGAACACCAGUGGCGAAGGCGGCUCACUGGUCCGGUACUGACGCUGAGGUGCGAAAGCGUGGGGAGCAAACAGG
rnacentral:rRNA from 1 species